UACGUAGGGCGCAAGCGUUAUCCGGAAUUAUUGGGCGUAAAGAGCUCGUAGGCGGUUUGUCGCGUCUGCCGUGAAAGUCCGGGGCUCAACUCCGGAUCUGCGGUGGGUACGGGCAGACUAGAGUGAUGUAGGGGAGACUGGAAUUCCUGGUGUAGCGGUGAAAUGCGCAGAUAUCAGGAGGAACACCGAUGGCGAAGGCAGGUCUCUGGGCAUUAACUGACGCUGAGGAG
rnacentral:rRNA from 1 species